AGUAAAAUUGCUGGGUCAUAUGGUAACUAUGUUUACAUUUUUGAGGAACUGCCAGGCUAUUUUCCAAAAUGGCUUUACCAUUUUACAUUCCCACCAGCCAU
rnacentral:pre_miRNA from 1 species